UCACACAAGGAGGAGACCACACACUUCCUCUCUUAUCUCCACCUAAAACUUCAAACUUCAAACCGCCACUAAACCUCUGCCUUGUAACUUCUCCACCAUCCAACACCCUUCUCCGUCGUCCAUCAUACUCCCUCCGAUCCGAUCUUCACCUUCGGAAAAAAAACUCAACUCUUCCCUUCUCCGAUCUACAACACCGCCAACCAUCAUAAACACA
rnacentral:lncRNA from 1 species